rnacentral:rRNA from 1 species
UACGGAAGGGGGCUAGCGUUGCUCGGAAUCACUGGGCGUAAAGGGUGCGUAGGCGGGUCUUUAAGUCAGGGGUGAAAUCCUGGAGCUCAACUCCAGAACUGCCUUUGAUACUGAAGAUCUUGAGUCCGGGAGAGGUGAGUGGAACUGCGAGUGUAGAGGUGAAAUUCGUAGAUAUUCGCAAGAACACCAGUGGCGAAGGCGGCUCACUGGCCCGAUACUGACGCUGAGGCACGAAAGCGUGGGGAGCAAACAGG